UUUCAAAUUUUGAAAAAUAAAAAAAUUAAAAUUUUCAAAAGAUAAAAUGCUAUUUUGGUCAUUUUAGUUUUUGAAAGCUAUUUUUGUGAUAUAAACUUAGAAAUGUGCUAUUCUGAAGAUUUGUCCAUAAAAUAUACGAACCCAGAAUAUCACUAGUUUAAAUAUAUAACUCUCGGUCUUCACAACUUCGUAUAUAUUACAUUUAACGUAGCGGCGGAGCUCACAUACAGAGUGUGCCCUAAAUUUUUGCCGGGGAAGAAUAAAAGUUUUCUUUUCGAAUUUGCGGCGAGGGUAUAGCGAUGUCGUACGACGAUGUAGAGAUAGAGGAUAUGGAGUGGAACGAAGAGAUUCAAGCGUACACGUAUCCUUGCCCCUGUGGCGAUUUAUUCCAGAUCACGAAGGAGGAUCUACGUCUAGGCGAGGAGAUCGCCAAUUGCCCGAGCUGCUCCCUCUAUAUCACCGUCAUCUACAACAUGGAGGAUUUUCAGAACGAUACGAAGAAGAAUAACGAAUCCAAGAGUCGUCAAGCCGUCGCCGUCGCGUGAGAAUGAUCAUGUAUCAUGGGCUGGGCAAUUAUUGCAGAACGGCAGGAGAUAUUGUUCUUUUUUGCAAAAGUUUUGGAAACCAUAUUGGAAGCGUGUAUUAUGGGGUAUUAUUUAUUACAUUAACCGAAUAUAUAAGCAAGUAAACAGAAUGUGUUCUGUUGCUGAUCAUUGCCAAGGAUAGGUUUGUAAGUCUACAUUGCCUAUUUUAUUUGGGUGUUUGUAGUUCGAAAUUUUGAUGAAGCAGACUGAUAAGAAAACUCGACUAAAA